GCUCUUCUAGUUUUCUGAGGUAGAAGCUUAGAUGAUUGAUUUCAAGUCUUUCUUCUUCUCCGUAUUGUAUUCAGUGCUGUCAGUUUCCUGCCAAGCACUGAUUUCACUACAUUACACAAAUUUUGCUAAUCCAAGUCUAACUUCAGACAACACUGUCCUGCUUCACAGUUAGCACAAGUGUAUUACAGCAAAAUAUUAUGAAUCUCUCCCUCCCAUUCUUUGUAUCAUUGCUGUCAUGCAUUUCAUACGCCAUUCAUAUAUAUAAACAUGUAUAAGCAUACAGAAUCAAAUACACAGUUGCUAUUAUUAUUUUGAGCAAACUGUUAUCUGUUAGAUCAA